GUGAUGUACCUACCAUACUUUAGAAACCCCUACUCCCCUUUGGAGGUGAUGAAAUAAGUUUUAGCAUAAAAUAUAAGUUCCUCAUAUUACUUUGAUAUGAUAAGUACAAGUCUUGCCGUUUUUUUUUUAAAAGAGGUUCAAACCCGUGCGAGGUGAGCUUUCAUAUAUGAAACAGACCAGUCAUGGGGACACGAGAUAUGGAAAGUUUCAGCGUAGUCGUCGCCACAUUGCUGCCAACAUUGCAUAUAUAAGGAAUCACGAACCAUUCAGGAAUAUUGAGACUUAGACCAGUAUCUUUUUAAGUCGGCAUGUGGGGUAAAGAAGACGCGAAAGCUUCAGUCGUGUACCAGCGGUAACGUAGGCGAUUGAUAUAUUUCCACCACUACAUAAGGUGGAUUGGAAUUUCCCAUUUGAUGCUUUGACUGACUAAAUGAGAAAACUUGGAGACCGAAUACCCAAGAGAAAUUGAAGAAAAUAUACACGCGACGGUCCAAGAAACUGCGGCAUAUGGCAACAUUGCCAAACACCUGUCAGCGAAGCGAAGGACGUAAACAAUGCCGGCAAAC